rnacentral:rRNA from 1 species
AAAGGUCUCGUUGGUGACCAGCGGAGGGUCAUUACCGAGUUUACAACUCCCAAACCCAAUGUGAACCAUACCAAACUGUUGCCUCGGCGGGGUCACGCCCCGGGUGCGUCGCAGCCCCGGAACCAGGCGCCCGCCGGAGGGACCAACCAAACUCUUUCUGUAGUCCCCUCGCGGACGUUAUUUCUUACAGCUCUGAGCAAAAAUUCAAAAUGAAUCAAAACUUUCAACAACGGAUCUCUUGGUUCUGGCAUCGAUGAAGAACGCAGCGAAAUGCGAUAAGUAAUGUGAAUUGCAGAAUUCAGUGAAUCAUCGAAUCUUUGAACGCACAUUGCGCCCGCCAGUAUUCUGGCGGGCAUGCCUGUCCGAGCGUCAUUUCAACCCUCGAACCCCUCCGGGGGGUCGGCGUUGGGGAUCGGGAACCCCUAAGACGGGAUCCCGGCCCCGAAAUACAGUGGCGGUCUCGCCGCAGCCUCUCCUGCGCAGUAGUUUGCACAACUCGCACCGGGAGCGCGGCGCGUCCACGUCCGUAAAACACCCAACUUCUGAAAUGUUGACCUCGGAUCAGGUAGGAAUACCCGCUGAACUUAAGCAUAC